UUGACUAAGGCAUGUUUUAUUUGAUGUUGGAUAAAAAAAUUGUCAUCUUGAAAAGAAUUUAUACUAUGCACAUGUUUGCCUACAUUCUGUGUGAGAAAGGUGGUUUGGACUUUCUAUCGGGUUUGCCUACAUCUAUGUUUGACAGUUAUCUUUCAGAUAGAUGUUGGAUUCAGACUCACUCAUUUUUA